rnacentral:rRNA from 1 species
UACGUAGGGUGCAAGCGUUGUCCGGAUUUACUGGGCGUAAAGGGCGUGCAGGCGGUUUGUUAAGUGCAGGGUGAAAGCUCCCGGCUCAACUGGGAGAGGUCCUUGCAUACUGGCGAACUCGAGGGAGGCAGAGGAAAGUGGAAUUCCCGGUGUAGUGGUGAUAUGCGUAGAUAUCGGGAGGAACACCUGUGGCGAAGGCGGCUUUCUGGGCCUUACCUGACGCUGAGACGCGAAAGCGUGGGGAGCGAACCGG